rnacentral:rRNA from 1 species
UACGAAGGGGGCUAGCGUUGUUCGGAAUUACUGGGCGUAAAGCGCGCGCAGGCGGUCUUCCAAGUCAGUGGUGAAAGCCCGGAGCUCAACUCCGGAACUGCCAUUGAAACUGUUAGACUUGAGGAUGAGAGAGGUGAGUGGAAUUCCCAGUGUAGAGGUGAAAUUCGUAGAUAUUGGGAAGAACACCGGUGGCGAAGGCGGCUCACUGGCUCGUAACUGACGCUCAUGCACGACAGCGUGGGGAUCAAACAGG